GGGAACCUUUGUCCUGCCGAGUCACCUCCCUACAGAGGUACACCCUCAGAGUGCCUGGCCCUAUACCCAAGCGAGGAUGCAGCCUGGCCCAAGACAGAUACACUUGGACAGGUCCUCUGGGAAGAGGCACCCAAAGGCCAGUCGACAGGGAGCCCAGCAGGUCCUGGGCAACAGGAAAGAUUUCCUACCAGAAGCACUAUUGAGCUGAAGGUUCAUAAAAGAUUUCUUGGAGCCGUGCACUCCAAGCCUGGAGGGCCACAUGCAGUUCCGGUUUUCUUGAACUAAAAUCUUGAAUUCAGGGAUUUUAUGGGUUAGAACAAAAUUCAAGUGCAGAGUUACAGAGUGUGGCCUUAAGGGGACGCCUUGUUGUGGGGAACAAACACGCACAAUCUAAGAGAUUUAGGAUGGGGCCCCACACCUGCCAGGUGCCAGACCUUCCCAAUUCUACAUCUCAGAUUUCCUCAUUUGUGAAAUGGGAAUGGAUGUCCACCAUGCUGGCAGCUCAGGUGAGGCAACUCAUGGAAACGCAUGGCAGAGUACCCCUUCCACAGACACCCUGUUCCCCCAACAACUCAACACGUCCACUCCAGGAGGCUUUGUGGCCAGGCAGGGAGGAUCCUGCCUCGCCCAGGGGCCCGGGCUUCUCAGAGGUAAUUAACACAAUUGUCUGCAAUUGUCCAAGAAGGUACAGAGGUGAGUCAGAGGAGCCUGGGUUUUGGAGUCCGGUCUUGACUCUUCUUCUGUGGGUACCCCAACUUUCAUGGUCCUCAGUCUCCUUGUCCACAAAUUGGAAGUAAUAACACCAGUGUGCUGUGAGGACGCAGUGAGAUGGCACACAGCACAGCUGACAUCUGCCAGGUGCCAGACCAUUGGCACCCAGGCUGUCCCUCACGCCCUGUGAUUCCUUGGUAAGUCCUUACACUAUAAGAAGGCUGGUGGCUAGGGUAACCCCAGCCCUGACCAUCCCUUCUGCCCGUGAGUCUGCCUUCCUUCAGUGGAGGGCCAGGGCAGCUUCUUCCCCUCUUCCUCCCCAGCCUACCAGCCAGCCCUGCAGGCUGACAGAACAAGUUUCUGGGCUGGGGUUCCUGGUUUCCAGGCUCCUGAAAGGAAUCUCUGGCUCUCUACUUCCCAGGCUUUUCCCACCUGAUUUCCAGAUCAGACCCUCAGUGCUUCUGCAGAUCUGUACCUUCCAACCCACCUUCCGUCCAGUCGCCCCCCUCCUGAGAAGUGACUCCGUCCUCCCAUCCUCCCAGCUGGCAGAACACAGGCCUGGGCCCAUCUGGCAGGCAGAGAAGCCCGUGGUGCUCCCUUACCUUCUCAGGACGGGGUCUCGUUGACUCCCUUCCCUUCCACUCUAGGCACUCUGAAAGAGCAGGGAAAGAAGGCAGUGCUGGGGCUCUGGGCGUGUCAGAGAGUAAGGGAGAGGAGGAAGAGGCAGAAGGGCCCCAAGAGGAAAUGGCCCAGCAGUCUGGGCCCACAUAAUUUAUUGCAGGACUUUGUCCUUGGGCGCUCUAGCACUCUCCACUCCCACAUGGCGGCUGCAGCCCCAGCCAGCAGAGCCUCACAGCAGCCUGAUCUUUAACCCUGGCCUCUUCAGCAGAGAGUCCCCACGGGCCAUCAGAGUCUGCUCUCCAUGCACCUGUUGCUGGCCAUUAGCUGAUCAUCCAGGGAGUUCAGCAUAUCCCCAGGCGUCAUGGAGACUCCAAGGAAGCCCACAAAAAAAAAACUCUGAUCCCAAAUACCCCAAGUCCUAAUUGGGACACACACACACAGGAGAUGCUAGGAAGCCUAUAACAGAGCUAAAGGCCAUUGGGACAACUAGAUCUUCAGUGUCCCUGGAAGCAGAAGCAGCUGGUUUGGGCUGGGACUCAUAUGAAGGGGAGUUUCUGCAAUAAGACAAAUACAGACCCUUCAGGUGGUGCAUUGUGGGAGAGGCCCCUGCUGGAAGGAGCAGGCAGUCCCUGAAAGUAUGAGGGUGAGGGCUCUGAAGGCAGGUGGAAAGUAAAUGCACAGGAUGUAACUGCUCAGCUGCAGCCCUUUCCUUGGGUGAAGAGAGACCUCGCUCAGUGAUACUCUUGGUUGGCCCAACCAGAGCCAGUUAGGUCUCUUCCCAGACCCAGGGCUUGGGAGGCAUUUGGGAACUGUAGGCCAAGGUGUAGGGAGCAGCUGUCAUUUUCAAGAUAGAAUCAAGGCUCCAGCAGGGCAGCAACCCUGACCUAGGCCUCUUUUGGAAAUAGGAACUAGGGACGCCUGAGUGGCUCAGUGGUUGAGCAUCUGCUUUGGCUCAGGGCGUCAUCCUGGAGUCCAGGGGUCGAAUCCCACAUCAGGCUCCCUGCAUGGAGCCUGCUUCUCCUGUCCCUGCCUCUUUGUGUCUCUCAUGAAUAAAUAAAUAAAAUCUUAAAAAAAAAAAAAAAGGAAGAAACAGGAACUAAGCGCCGGGGGUAGAGAGAAGGGUACAGUAGACAGGCUGUAGAGCUGGAGAUGACACUUCCAGUUGGAGGCAGAGGCCACCCCUGCCCAAUAGUGGCCUCUGCUUCCUGUGGGGGGGUUCCUCACAGUCCCAGCUUCCUUGUGAUGAACACUCCUGAUGUUUCAGUGUGAAGGAGUUUCUUCCUUUCAAUCACACAGCCAGUGCCAGGGGUAGGGAAUGAGGGGGGAUAACAAACUUUUGGAGGAAGCAUGUGCCCUGGGACUUUCAGCCAGCACCCAACAUGCUCCCUGUGAGUGCUGUACCCAAGUCCUACCUAGGCACCAGCUGGCCUCUUGCUCCCUAAACUCUCAGCCAGUUUCUGGGCCAACACUUGUUCUGGGGGGAGAGGGGAAGAAGGCUUCAUUCACAUGGCUUGUCGCUUCUCUGGUUUGGAAAGAUACCAUUUCACUCUCAGAGGAUUGGUGUGGCUGCCUUGGGCAGCUCCCAGAGAUGGUGAGCCCCUUGCUCUGGGGCCCCUGGCAUGGGGCUGGGUCCUCUAUGGCCCUCUUCCUCUGCCCUAGUGCAAAAAGAGAUAGCAGAACAGAAUAUGUGGGCAGAAGAAAGCAGUUUAUAAGGUAUGUCUAGCCAGGGCCUGUUUUAAACACAAUUUGACAGAAGUACAUUUUGGAUACCUACAAACAAACUUGUUUCCCACUUUGUCUUUUACAUUGGACAUUUAUAUUGUAAGCAUUUUCUUACUUACACUGUACCAAACUCUAACCACCAGUCUUUAAAUACAGCAUUAUAGUCUCUCCUACAAAUGCCCCGUUAUUUGUGUAGUCAUCCUCCCUGGAUGGACAUCAAGAGGCACCCAAUCCUUUGCUAUUAUCCACAACACUGCAAUGAACAAGUUUGUGCUCAUAGCUCUGUUUGCAUUAUGACACCACAGGAAGGUUCCAGAAGGGAACUUAUCAAAGCAAGGGAAUGAGUGUUUUGUUGCUAACCUUUCUCAAGUGGCAUGUCAAGUCUUCCCUGCUAGCAAAGGGUGUAUGUGUUACUGCCAGGACCUUGGCAGGGUUCACAGGCAGACACCCUGAGGGACACUUUUCCUGGAGCCUCAGGUAUUUAUUCCAUUGCUGAGGAAUUUCAAGGAUUCCAGGCCCCGGAAAUUAGGAAGAGGAGCUGAGGGUGAUCAAGCUCAUAGGUCCAGGUGCAGCUGAGGCUGAAAGAGGAGAAGAACAUCAAAGGCCAGAAGGAGAUGUUCUCUUGGAAGAGGUGACUCUGCCCUGGCCUCCUUGAAUGGCAGGCAGAUAUGCCUAGAAGACAUGGAGGGUGCAGAGAAGAGGCUAUCAAACUGGACCCCAGGGGACCUGCCACGGAAAUGACUAUCCUCAGGCAAGUGGAGCGGUCAUGUCAAUCCCAUCUGUUCUGGUAUCUGAAGCCUGCAAAAUGCACUAAAUGCAGAGGAGCUGUCACACACACCUACUGCCUGAGGGAGCUACAGUCCAGCUGGAAACAAAUUGUGCAGCUUUACAUUUCCUGUUAAACCUAGACCCAAGAAUAUCAACUAUCCUCAAACAGAGUUUGGAGCCAAAAGGAAGGCCAGGAUUUCAAGGUGGAUAUUCAUUUCUCAGCACCAUUUACUAAAGAGACUGUUCUUUUCUCAUUGAGUGGCCUUGGCACCUUCGUCAAAAAUCUGUUAACCAUAGAUGUGAAGGUUUAUUUCUGGACUCUCAAUUCUAUUCUGUUGGUCUGUAUGUCUAUCCUUAGGCUGCUGCUACACUGUUUUGAUUAAUGUCUUGUAGUAAAUUAAUGUUCUGUAGUAAAUUUUGAAUUAAGAGGAGUGAGUCCUCCAA